rnacentral:rRNA from 1 species
AUUGAACGCUGGCGGCAGGCCUCACACAUGCAAGUCGAACGAGUGGCGGACGGGUGAGUAAUGUAUGGGAAACUGCCCGAUGGAGGGGGAUAACUACUGGAAACGGUAGCUAAUACCGCCUACCAUCGGAUGUGCCCAGAUGGGAUGAGCUAGGCGGUGGGGUAACGGCGCACCUAGGCGACGAUCGCUAGCUGGGCUGAGAGGAUGACCAGCCACACUGGAACGGAGACACGGUCCAGACUCCUACGGGAUGCAGCAGUGGGUAAUAUUGCAAAAUGGGCGAAAGCCUGAUGCAGCCAUGCCGCGUGUAUGAAGAAGGCCUUCGGGUUGUAAAGUACUUUCAGCGAGGAGGCGUUACUCGCAGAAGAAGCACCGGCUAACUCCGUGCCAGCAGCCGCGGUAAUUC